CCUUGCUCAUAUUUAUAAGAAAAGCAUUAAUUGUCAAAACAUAUAAUAAAAGGUAAAUGGACGGAUAAAUGGGCUCACCAGAAGAUCCAGGAGAAGCAAGAAAACGAUCGCUUAGUUUCAAUUUCACCAUCUCAAUCUGUCUUUAUUGUUAAUAUGAUCUGCCAUCAUUGUUAUAAUCAAGUUAAUCACGCAAACUUGUUAACGGGUUAUCGUUAAAAUAAAUCAGGAUUUGGAACCAAACAAACAGAUGAGAAGAUAAUUACUAUUGAUUGAAGGUUUUUUCUUCUCUGCUUCUCUCUCUCUCUUAUCAAAUAAGCAUGAAAUUAUUGAGGAAGUUGAAGCUUUUGGCUGAACAAUUUUGACUCUUCUCUGUUACCAUUUUUACAAUUCAAAACAAACCCAAAAUGACGACCUUAUAAUUAAAAGAAAUCAUGGAUGAUAAUGAUCGUCAUUAUCAAGACGAAGAUUGGAAAAGAUGAUCAAGUGAAAGAUGGUAGAGACAGACAGGAGAAACAAAUGAUUAUUAUCAAAUUAACUUGGCAAAAAGAGAGUAAUCAAUGGAGUAAAGCAAAUUAAAUUGCGGAAGGUGAAUUUAUCCACAUAAACCUCAAACUUCUUGAUUAGUAACAGGCUAAUUACAUUUUUCAAACCCAAUUAGUAUCUAAAUGUGAACUUUAAAUUAGUUACAACAAAUUGAAUCAAUUUUUGGAAAUUUCAAUUCAACUCAAUUUACGCGCAAUUGGAAAAAAGCGGGAGACAAAUCAAUACCAUUGGCUCAUUGGAAAAGCUUACAUCAUUGGCGGUUAACUUUCAUAAAAUGUGCUACAUAGUCAUCAGGGUUGCGUUAACAAAAUCAGACAUUUUGUCUAGUUGAUAACUCAUGGUGUUGAAGCAUUUCACCCUUUUUUAUUUCUAUUAAAUCUAAUGUGUCUACCAAUUUAGUGAUUUUUGUAUGUGAUUACAGUAAUUAAAAUUGUUUACGUUGAUAAGAAAAACCAACAAAAAAGGUGAAAUUAAAAAUGUAAAAGAUUAAACGUUUUGUUUUAAUGUGGGUAUACGGUGAAGGAGUAAGACAAAACCAACAAUUAAAGUAUAAAGUAAACUGUGAAAACAAUCGCGUAAUUUAGUUGAUUAAGGGUUUCUCUGUUUAACCAAAGAAACGACGAAAGGAUGCCAAGACAAAGUUUCAUAUUUCUCUUCAUCAUCAUCAUCAUCAUCAUCAUCUCUUGAGAAUCUUCUCAAGCUCUUACCAUGAAAAUUGUAUUUAAUUAAGAUAUCUAAUUAAGGGUUACAUUUUCAGGUCCAUUCGUUGUCAUCAUCUUCAUCAUCAGUGUUAUUUCCAGUUGUUGGUACUCUUCGUUGUUGGUAACAUCAUCACCGCCAUCAUCAGCAUCAUUAAACAUAGAUAUAAUUACCAUUGAUACAGUAUCAUGAUGGUAAUGAUGAUGACAAGAAAUAUCCUGUAAAACAAAAUAAAAAUGAAAAUGUGACCCAAAAUUAUUAGCUGUUGAAUGUUAUUAUUAUCAUUUUAAGAUGAGAGAAGAGCAAAUUAUAAUCAUGGCGAUGAUAAUAAUUUGCUUUUGGACAAAAAAUUUUGACAAGGAGAGGAUUAAAAUGCAACUGUAACUGGUUGCAGUGUCAACAAAGAAGAGCCAAUUAAAGUGAUAAACCUUAAGGUAAAAAAGAGUCACAGAAAAUCAAAGCAAAGCCAAUCAUCUGCUCUAACCCAUCCUGAACAUAUGAGAAACCAUGAGAAACCGCUGAUUGAGACAGAAAAAUUGAGUCAACCGAUCUUUCCAUUAGGUUAAACGACCGUUCAUGUUUUAUUAACUGCCCCUGGGAGGACAAAUAUUGAAGACAAAACGAGCAUGAAAAUUGAAGGACAAUAAUAUUUUCAAAGGAUUGAACAAAAUGAGAUGAAACUAUUUAACUCUAUUCCCCUUUGGUUUUGACAAAGCACUAUGGCAAGAAGCAAAGGAAAGAUGGUUUUUGAAGAUGAUUGACGAUAAUUGUAAAAGAUGAAGGCGAACAGGUAUAGAUCAUUAAGGUCUAAUGGCAAGGAAAGAAAGAAGAUACAAAAGAUGUAAAUAGAAAGAGGAGGAAGAAAGAAAGAAAAUGAUGAUGAUGAGGAUGAUGAAGGAGAAGGCAAACAGCAAAAAUUAGGAGUGAUAAAUCAUCUUGUUACCUUCUCAUCCUUAGAGAGACAACACACAUAUUACAAUAAGAGCAACAACUCGUCAGUAUUUUAUUUGAGCUCAUGGUGAUUCUCGUCAUCAUCAUCAUCAACAGCAACAUCAACCUGAUCAACAUGAUCAUCACAAAGCAACAAACAAACAGACAGAAAGAGAUAAAAAGAAUGGCAAAAAGCAUAACGUUUCUUACCAAAACAGAAUACAGAUUAACGAUAAUAUACUAUGAGUUUUUGGGUGUCUUAAUUAACAUUCAGGUUUAGUCUUAAUUUUAAAUAUUAACGAUAAAUAAUAAUGAUGAGCAAAUAUAAUUACAAUAAUCAUAAACAGAAAGAUAGACAAAGUGCUUCAAGUUUAAUGGUGAAAAAUGAAGAGAAAAGAUGAAAAGAAGAAGAAAAACUCACAACUAAUCUGAAUAACAUAUUCAUGGUAAUGAAAUUAUCUGAAGCCAUCUUCAUGUAACUUUAACUGUUGUUACUUGGCCAACCAUUUGCGUGGUUGGUUAAUCAUAGCCUCAAGCAAUUAUAAUAAUUAUCAUUAUUAUUAUUAAUAUUUAGUUAACACCAACAAUAAAAGUCUUUUUUACUUGUUUGUGUUGUUCAAUCAUAAAUCAUAUUUUUUACACUGUAAAAGGUUUUUGGCUAAAGUUAAGGUAAAACUAAAAAAUUGAUACCUGAUAAAAGGUAUUAAAAAGUUAGAUUUAUUUAUUAUUACAAUUAGUAUUGUAAGCUUGUAGCUGAAGUACCCAAAGUAAAUUGUAAAUGAUUGUGUAUUAAUGUCAAAUAAAGGCCAAACUAGCUAAUAAUCAAUAGUAUAAGCAGGUAGCAAAGAUAAACUUGGUUUUAAAUUGAUUUUUUAGACGAUUAAUUGGUAAGAAAAGAGGUAAAUUAUUGCUCUUUUUGUUUCUUUUUUCUGGUUCUGUUGGUUUUAAACGGGUUAAGAAGAUAAUGAUGAUGACUUGAAUUAUCUUUUUACCUCCCAAAUCGAUAAUUAUUCAUUAUUCAUUAUUACUAUUGCCUCAAGUGAUUAGUUGAUUUCUCACAAAGAUGAUUUUCCUCAAUCAUAAUUUUGUAUCUUCUUCUUAUUUUGCUGUUUAAUUCAACUGUUCACCUUCAUCUUCUCCUCCUUGAAUUAUAUUUUGUUUUUUAUUUCUGGUGAAUCAAUCAAAUGAUUGAUUCAACAUUAAUCUUAACCAUUAGCAUCUUUCAUUGUCGAUUGUUAAUCAUAUCAUUUAAAUCAAUUGAUAAUCAUUAAUCUAAUCACAAGAAAGCUGUCUAUUUAAUAUAUUGAAACAGUUUGAAGCAGCAAAUUGUUUAAUGUAUUGAAUCUAUAUUUUCUUGAGUCGCUCUUUGAUUAAUAAUGAUUGUAACCAAUUAUCAAGAUCCAUUUAUUAUUCAAUGUUAAAUGAAUGAGUAGGUGGGUUAAGUCAGGGUGGGGUGGGUUACACUAAGCACCACAGAUUCAUACACAUGAGCAUCAUCUUUAAUCAUGUUCAUCGAGCCACCCUGAUAGUGUUUAAAAUCAAAUUAAGGAAGGUUAUUUUGCAUCACAAAAUCUGAUAACGAUUAUACGAUUCUCAUCAUUAUCAUUAUUAACAAUAAUAAUGUAAUUCCAGUGGGCAGUUAAUGUGCUUUUGACUUAACAACAAUUAGAAACAGUUCACAGAUCUGUUUGUUAAUUAACUGUUAAAGACGCCAAAUUUACCUUUAACCAAUUCUGUAUUAAAUAUGCAAACAGUUGACGUUUUGAAUACACAAACACACAAUUGUAUUAUUAUCAAGUUUAAAUUGUUAAUCUUUUCUGUAUUUGCAUUUAUGUAUCUUUUAUGUUUGCUUUUACUGUCCAAUUUUGUCAAUAGAAACCUGUGAUUUACAUAAAUUUGUAAAUAUGGUGCAAGUCAAGGUGAAAA